rnacentral:misc_RNA from 1 species
UACGGAGGGUGCGAGCGUUAAUCGGAAUUACUGGGCGUAAAGCGCACGUAGGCGGUUUAGUAAGUCAGUUGUGAAAGCCCAGGGCUUAACCUUGGAAUGGCAAUUGAUACUGUUAGACUUGAGUCGAAGAGAGGGAAGCGGAAUUUCCGGUGUAGCGGUGAAAUGCGUAGAUAUCGGAAAGAACACCGGUGGCGAAGGCGGCUUCCUGGCUUCAGACUGACGCUGAGGAGCGAAAGCGUGGGUAGCGAACAGG